rnacentral:lncRNA from 1 species
GGGGUUUCACCGUGUUAGGAUGGUCUCGAUCUCCUGACCUCGUGAUCCACCACCUUGGCCUCCCAAAGUGCUGGGAUUACAGGUGUGAGCCACCGCGCCCGCCAACUGGCGCCAACAAGGCAACCGAAACACCACACCUGAGUGAGUUACACUGAUUCUUACUCAGUAAAGACGCGUUCGUGACAGACCUUUCAGUCCUCAUUCCACAUUGAUCUGCUCUACAUUCAAAGACUGACUUUCACACCUGUAAGACAAAAUAGU